UAGGGGAACAGGGCAAGGGGGCUUACUCAGUCUCUGUUUUUACCCGUCUGCAUGAGUGAAUUGAGCUUUCAACCUAAGGCUUUACAAAGAUGCCUCUUUUGCAUAAAAGUGCUUCCAACAGUGACCCCAAAGAGUUGUAGCAAUCCCCAUCCCCACUAGGGCAACCAUGUACGAGACAGAAAAGGCUAAGUUUCCCCUUAGUUUGUGGACAAGACUCUUAGAAACUAGGACCUGAAUUUUCGUUGUUGAUGGAUGUUCUCCCUGCAGAUCCAACACUCUCACCUUCUCCUUUAAAUGAUCCAUUCCUCUGAACCAAAAGCUGACGUUCUCAGCGUGCAUCAGUAGACCCAUCUCCUAGGUGAAGGCACCUUCAGAUUUCCACAUUCCACUUGCUGCAAGCCUCUCUUGCAAUGCAGGGAGCACGUUUCAUGUGCAGGCUGGUCCUCCCGAAGCAUUGAUGUAUAAGCCUGCAGUCUCAGCGAGGCCCAAAACUCUGACAACAACUUUUGCAACAGUUUGGUUGGCUUCAUCAGCAGGUGCUGAGCGGGGCUUCAAAGUCUUCAGUGUACACCUUGAUGUAAACUGCAGCCCUAUUCUCUGUAGCAAUGCCCUUUUCUUAGAGUGAUUCACCCUAAUUCCCACCACGAGAAGCAGUAGCCUCCUUCUCGGUCUGUCUCCAUCAGAGCAGUGGCUCGAGGGCUUUGCCUUGAUUAAUGAGAAAUAUUUUAUCAAAGAAACUAGACAAUUCUUUCCAUCAAGACUAAGCUUUACUGAACUAAUAUAUGCCAACAGUGAUUCAUUUCUUUUAGCUCAUGUAUGUACUGCCGAGGUAGAUUUCUUCAUGUGUUGAUGAUUCUCUAAUUCAACUUUUUUCUUUUUUUGAAAUGGAGUCUAACUCUGUCACCCAGGCUGGAGUGCAGUGGCACGAUCUCCACACCUGUGUGGCCUGGCACUGUGGUGCAUUGCAAGUCCUUCAGAGGCACCUGCACGAAGCCAGCACAGGCAGUAUGAAACCCAUCACACCCACACUAAACAGGAUGCAACAGGAUCCUUCCAAAAUUCUUCAGCAUACUCAGGAAUUAUCUUCAUGACUACUUUAUGAAAUUAAUAUAGUAUAAAUUUAUCUGAAAAACUGUGAUCUGAAAUUAUUAUGUAUUUGAAACUGAAACACAUAAAAGUUAAGGGACUUCAUAAUCAUAAAAAUGUUGAUCUAGAAUUCAAUCUUUCUGUAAGCCUGACCAUUGUUAAAGCGGAAUUUUCCUUGCCAGAAGAAAUUAUACUUAAAAUAGAAUCUCCCAAAUACUAAUUCUGAAAGAAUCUAUAUUUUAAGCACUUAAAUUCAUUUCCUGUGCAAGACUUCUUUUAGUCACCUUUUAGAU
rnacentral:lncRNA from 1 species